CCUCUCUCCCACAGAUGGCAGCUCAGAUCCGUGAAGUGGAGCAGAGCCGACAGGAGGUGGUUCGGUCUGUCUUAGAGGUUGGUUUCCCUCGGAGGAUCCAGACCACCUCAGACAGUGCCAGACCCAGAAGAGGGCUCUUCAGCACAUGGAAGCUGGAAAGGGAUAAACAGGUAAGACUGUUAGGGAAUCUCUUGUUGGGAAUUUGACAUCUUAGAACAUUCUGCAACCUUGUGGCCGGGAAAUGGAAACAGAUCUCAUCUUUGCCACUCUCGUGACUCAAGGACCUCAUCUGGCAGCCUGGCUCAUGUUUUUCAGCCAAGUAGCUUCCAGCUCACAGCAGCCCGCAAACUUGGACCUGCCACCAGCUCCAGAGCUUGACUGGAUGGAGACAGGACCAUCUCUGACAUUCAUUGGCCAUCAGGAUAUACCAGGAGUUGGUAACAUCCACUCAGGUGCCACACCUCCCUGGAUGAUCCAAGAUGAAUACACUGCUGGGAACCAAGAAAUAGGACCAUCCUAUGAAGAAUUUCUUAAAGAAAGUAAGUAAA
rnacentral:sRNA from 1 species